GCCCCAAACAGGAGUUACUGUCAGAAAAAGAGGCAAGGAUUUCCCAUUGUACAGAUGUGGAUUCCUGGCUCAACACCACCACCUUGGAACCAUGGGACCUCUGGCAAAUUACCUAACCUGUACUGAGUCUCAAUUUCCUCAUCUUCAAAAAGAAGAUAAUAUAAUAUACAUCCCAGGGUUGCUAGAUCCAUAUUCAUCAUAGACUAUUUGGAAAAAAGAGCAGGUCACUGGUGUUGCAGGAGAUGCAUCAGGGCAACCGUCCUGCAUGAAGUGAAGUGAAAUGACUGCAUCACUGGGAGCACUCUCCAUCCAGAGAAGAUACACUGAGUUUUCAUGCUGAGUUUUUCACUGACUCAGCAUGAAAACGUCAUCCAUCAUUCACUUCCUCUUGCAGCUCAUUUGCCAGAACCAGUCAGAGAGCUAUACUCACCUGUAAGGGGUCCUGAAGUGCUGUCUGCCAUGUUGCUGGAAGAGGAGGACACCCAGAUACUGGAAGACACUAGUGACAUCUUCCUCCAUCCAUAGCCUUGAAUGAAAAUGACAGUCUUAAUUACUCUGCUGUGGUAGUAAGACUCAAUACCCGGUAGAGCAAAUCCUUCAACCCUGGGUUUCCUCCUUAAGAAGGCCUUGGCUAGUCUUGGACCUUGGCAAUUCCAUAUAAAUUUUAGAGAGUGUUUGUUAAGUUCUUUAAAAAUCCUGUUGAGACUUUUUGUUGAAUCCGUAGCUCAAUUUAAUUCCAUAGCGCAAUUCUCAAGGGAGAAUCGACAUUUAAAAUUUUGAGUGUUCCAAUUCAGUAACAUAAAAUUUCUCUCCAUCAACCCAGGUCUUCUUUAACUUCUCUCAAUAAUGAUGUUUUGCACAGAGGUCUUGCAUACGUUCUGUUAGAUUUUUAGGUGUUUUCCUAUUUUUUAAUGCUAAUGUAAAUGUUAUCUUUAAAUUUUUGUUUCAACUUAUAAAAAAUUGGGGUUGAUGAAUAGAAAUUUAAUUCAUUUUUCUGUGUUGACUUUAUAUCCAGGACCUUGUGGAACUUCCUUAAAGUCUAAAAAGGAUGUGCAGAUUCCCAUGGAUUUUCUAUGUAGGUGAUAAUGUAAUCCACAAAUAAUAACAAUUUUAUUUCUUCCUUAUGUCUUUUAUUUCUUUGCCUUGCUUUGCUCUGUGGGACCUCUAGGACAUGUCGUGACAGUAGGCAUCCUUGUUCCUUCACAACCUCAAAAAGAAUAUUUUCCAAGUUUUAUUAUUUUUUGAUGCUAUCCAAGUUUCAUUUUAAAAUAUAUUAGUUGAUAUAGGUUUCAUAGUAGAUACUCUUUACUAGAUUAUU